GUACGAUAAUAGCAAACCCGUUGAAAGAUGGGGACGCAAAGCUUCAGGGGCUAAUGAAUUUGCCGAAGACGCAAAUGCCGAUGCCAGCCAGCUGCCGAU
rnacentral:ncRNA from 1 species